rnacentral:lncRNA from 1 species
AUCAAUCCGCCUUAUCAAAAAAACAAAAAUAGUCAAGUGAUGCUUCUCUGUUAUUGUAAUUUUGUAGCAGGGAGCUUGGGAUGGGCCCAAGUAAAUGCCAGCUAGUGUCCUAUAGCGCACUCUCUUUUGGUAUCUUUCGCUUGGAACAAACCUAAUCCGCAAAAUGGAUACAAAAAAGAUGGCAGGUUUUAUCUCAAUAAAGAGUCAUUUCCCUUAGUGACUCUAGAAUGGAAUCAACCAGAUCUUAACUUAUGUUAUUUUUUGUUGAUAUAUUUUG